UUGCCUCUCUGCUGCCACAACACUACCAGCGGGGGAAAAGCCGGUUCUCAGUGGUACGUGGGGAUGUACAUCCAUGGUGUGGAGACAGCUAGGGCGUGGGUGGGCAUCCUGAAGAGAGGUUAUCAUCACAGACUUCUAUCGCAUUACAAACAAGACGCCUCUGCCAGAGUCAUGGAGAAGAAAGUGAAUUUAUUUACAAGAAGAUUCCCCCUCACGCAUGCUCCUCCUCCUCCCCCACUGGAAACCAGAUUUAAUGAAGGACUAACAGUGUAAGUCAGAGCAGACACUGAAGAACAGCCUACAGAGCAUGAAGCAAAAGGGAGGAGAACACUGGGUUACCCUGCAGAAAUAGUGGUGCCUUGACGUUUUGCAGACAGAAGCAGGUGAUGCAAAAUAUAUUGUGUUUUCAAGAACACACAAAAAACCUACGUGGACAAUUUCAG